AUUGAACGCUGGCGGCAGGCCUAACACAUGCAAGUCGAGCGAGCGGCGGACGGGUGAGUAAUGUAUGGGGACUGCCCGAUAGAGGGGGAUAACUACUGGAAACGGUGGCUAAUACCGCAUACUAUCGGAUAACCCAUAUGGGAUUAGCUAGUAGGGGGGGUAAAGGCUCACAUGGUCGACGAUCUCUAGCUGGUCUGAGAGGAUAAUCAGCCCCACUGGUACGUAGACACGGCCCAGCCUCCUACGGAGGCAGCAGUGGGGAAUAUUGAACAAUGGGAGCAAGCCUGAUGCAGCCAUGCCGCGUGUAUGAAGAAGGCCUUAGGGUUGUAAAGUACUUUCAGCGGGUAGGCGUUACCCGCAGAAGAAGCACCGGCUAACUCCGUGCCAGCAGCCGCGGUAAUUC
rnacentral:rRNA from 1 species